CAGUCGCCGCGGGAAUACGAAGGGGGCUAGCGUUGCUCGGAAUGACUGGGCGUAAAGGGCGCGUAGGCGGAUGGCACAGUCAGAUGUGAAAUUCCCGGGCUUAACCUGGGGGCUGCAUUUGAUACGUGUUGUCUAGAGUGAGGAAGAGGGUCGUGGAAUUCCCAGUGUAGAGGUGAAAUUCGUAGAUAUUGGGAAGAACACCGGUGGCGCAGGCGGCGACCUGGUUCAUUACUGACGCUGAGGCGCGAAAGCGUGGGGAGCAAACAGGAUUAGAUACCCCCGUAGUCCCUGUCUCUUAUAC
rnacentral:rRNA from 1 species